rnacentral:rRNA from 1 species
AGAGUUUGAUCAUGGCUCAGAGCGAACGCUGGCGGCGUACUUAACACAUGCAAGUCGAACGAGGAUCAUCCGUGUAGCAAUACAUUGGUGGUCCUAGUGGCGCACGGGUGAGUAACACGUGGGUGACCUGCCCUAGAGCUCGGGAUACCCCCUCGAAAGGGGGGCUAAUACCGGAUACGUUCCUUGGUCGAAAGAUCGGGGAGGAAAGGUGGCGCAAGCUGCCGCUCUUGGAGGGGCUCGCGGCCUAUCAGCUAGUUGGCGGGGUAACGGCCCACCAAGGCUAUGACGGGUAGCUGGUCUGAGAGGACGACCAGCCACACGGGGACUGAGACACGGCCCCGACUCCUACGGGAGGCAGCAGUGGGGAAUUUUCCGCAAUGGGCGAAAGCCUGACGGAGUGACGCCGCGUGUGGGACGAAGGCCUUCGGGUCGUAAACCACUGUCAGUGGGAAAGAUGGGUGUCGGGGCUAAUACCUCCGGCAUCUGACGGUACCUGCAGAGGAAGCCCCGGCCAACUCUGUGCCAGCCGCCGCGGUAAUAC